rnacentral:rRNA from 1 species
CUGCCCAGUGAAUGAUAUUCAACGGCCGCGGUAUCCUAACCGUGCAAAGGUAGCAUAAUAACUUGCCUAUUAAUUGUAGGCUAGAAUGAACGGGAUAACGAAAUAAAAACUGUCUCAAUUAGUUAACUAAAAAUUAUCCUCUAUAUAAAGAAAAAUAGAUAAAUUCGAAGGACAAGAAGACCCUAUAGAGCUUUAUUUUGUACGUAAAUAAUACUACACAAAAUCGGUUGGGGCGACCAGGGGAAUACUAAACACCCCUAAAUGAAAAGAUAUUUAUAUCCACUUAUUGACCCUUCAAAGAUCAAAAGACCAAGCUACCUUAGGGAUAACAGACUAAUCCCAUUUAAGAGUUCAUAUCUACAAUGGGGUUUGGCACCUCGAUGUUGGCUUAGGGUAUCUACAUAGCGCAAAAGUUAUAUAAAGAUGGUUUGUUCAACCAAUAAUUCCCU